AGGCCGAUCUUGUCCAUGCUUUGCCCAAAUUCUUUUGCAGCAGGUGCAAUAUAGACACUUAUAGAGGUAUCAGCUCCAAGUGGAAAUCCCAGUUCAACUGAUUAGGGGUGGAAUUGCAUGCAGGUUAUUCCACUUUGAGUUCUCACACCUACCUUACAGGAAUCUUAAGAAUUGAAUGUAUUAUGGGUAGAUGCCUGGCAUUCCUCUCAGCCCUCAAAACCACAGCUUGCAGCAGGGCCCCCAAGGACUCUCCUGCUGCUCAUCCUAUUUCCCUUGACUUGAGUCCCUCUCCACACUACACAAAAUCUCUUCGCAGCUCUCUGUACCCAUUCUGCACCCUUUAAGAAUCAACCCAAAUACUGCCUCCCAGGACAGCAUCCCUGAUCUACCCAGGGGGAGGGCUCUUGGAGCACUUGGUUCAGGCCACUCCAGGGAAAUUUCAUUCUGGGGCUGGCCUGUGGGUGCCCCCAGGAGGGGAACAAGCCACAGAAUCUUGGGGUCUCUGUGCCCUGAUUCGGAGGAGAUGCAGAGAGAAUGCAUGUGGGAGAAUGCUAGUUACAAGCAAUGCAAAGAGGCAAUGAAUCCCGAUAGGAAAAUCAGGAUGGGCUUCCAGGAAGAAGGACUGAGGGAGAAAAGGUAUCAGGGGCACUAUGGGGCUUUGGGGGAGGGGGUGCAGAGGUCUCCAGAACUUCUUGGUUGGGAUGUGUGAGGGGAGAUUCAUCUUCUCUUGGCGACAAAGGGGGAAGGGGCCGAUCCCCUAGAUCCUGGCUCCGAUAAAUCCCGUGUUUCAGGACUGAGGGGGCUGACAGCGCCCCCCCCACACACACCCCGAUCACACACGCGCGCGCGCACGAGCCUCCCACACGGGAGUGGGGGGUGGUGGCAGGGGGCGGGUGUUCGCCCCCACGGCCCGCAGCGCCAAAAGAUAGAGACCCCAGUCACAGGCCAUCCCGAGGAGGUGUCCGGGGGGAUCUCUGCGGUGGGAGAAAUCCCUCCUGCACCUCCUGGAGCUCCUCACCAACGCGGGUGGCCCGGGGGGGCGGGGCGCAGAGGGAAGAGGUGACAUAAUCCGGGCCGCA
rnacentral:lncRNA from 1 species